GACGAGGGACCUAGCGUUGUUCGGAAUCAUUGGGCGUAAAGCGGGUGUAGGCGGACUUAUAAGUCAGGUGUGAAAUCCCAGGGCUCAACCCUGGAAGUGCAUUUGAUACUGUAAGUCUUGAAUGUGGUAGAGGUUACUGGAAUUGCUGGUGUAGUGGUGAAAUACGUAGAUAUCAGCAGGAACACCGGAGGCGAAGGCGGGUAACGUGGGCCAACAUUGACGCUGAGACCCGAAAGCGUGGGGAUCAAACAGG
rnacentral:rRNA from 1 species